CUCAAAAUUACCUUAUAUGGAAUGCAAUUUGGAAAUUAAUGUCAGUCUCCUUUGUACUUAUUUUUUGAAAUGGCAAAUUUUCUAAAAUAAGAAAUGGAAAGUUCCAGGGACAAGUAUAGACUGUUAGAAUAAAGUUUUCCUUUACUUAAAAUUCUUCCCAAAACUAAACAAACAAAACCAACUGUGUGUGUGUGAUCCUCAUGGAAGAAAUUGGGUCCAUUGAUUUCAGGAAAUUUUCAAUCACUAUACAAUCAGAGAAGGAGGGGGUUGUUACUGUUAUCUUGUGGGGUUAUGGUUUCUGAACUACUCACUAUAUUGCAUUUCUAUCACACACAUUAAUAUGUACCCUGAGGUUCUUGCUGUAUUUGCAAAACAAACUGAUGAGCAAGCCAAUAGUCAAUAUAAUCUGAGUGACAAUAAUGUCAAAAAUGUGUCAUAACUUUCUAACCAUAUCAGAUCCUGGCAUAUUGGGAAUUGGCAAAGACCAAUUCUGAGCCCGCUGGGUCAGUCACUGGGAUCCAAGGUUGUCUGCCACCCUGGAGGCAACGUCAUGAGCAGGCAGCAUGAUUGCUGUGGCCAUUUCAACUGGCUUCCAUGCCUCCUUGCUUGGGCAGAGACUUUCACUGCUAGGCAACUUACAGGAACCAGACAAACUCUGGCUAGAUAUUUUGGGCAAACAGAAGCAACUGUACAGGUUAGUAUUAUAAUUAUUCCCUUUAUAUGGCUGGAUAAAACCUGGGACCAGAACUUUGUUCAAUAGAAAUAAGUUAUUCUUUCCAGGAUUUUCUAAAUUUGUGUCUCAGUCGAUUUCAUUAAAACGAGCAAAGUCACUCAACAGGACAGAUACGGAAGUGUAGUCUGACAUGAAUGGAAAACUACUCUCGGUGCUGUCUGAUGGAUGUUGAUAAGACCAAUGAGGCAAUCCAAGAAAAAAAAAGAUGAGGCUGACUUCUGCAAAUUUUGGAUACCAUGAUGACCUCAGAAAACCUAGAGGACCUUCCACAACCUUGUGGCAGCUUCAGACUAAGAGGAACAAUCUGUCUACUAAAUGAAUAUCACCAGGAGCAGCAAAUCCCACCAGUCAUCCACCAGCAGGAAUUGUCCCCCAGGAGAACUGAUUUAUACAGCAGGACAUCAAGUGCAUGAUAAAGACACAUAAUAUAGGUGGGCCUUUGAAGGCAAUUACGUUUAGAUGCCAUCCCUAUGCUGGAAUUAGCACCCUUAUGGGAAGAGACACCAGGGAGCUUGUUUCUUCUCUCUCUCCCCACCAUGUGAGGACACAGGCGAAGGCGGCCAUCUGCAAGCCAGGAAGAGAGCCCUCACCACAACCUGACCAUGCUGGCAACUUGAUCUUGGGCUUGCCAGCCUCCAGAACCGUGAGAGAAUAAAUUUCUGUUGCUUAAAC
ensembl:lncRNA